rnacentral:rRNA from 1 species
UACGUAGGGUGCGAGCGUUGUCCGGAAUUAUUGGGCGUAAAGAGCUCGUAGGCGGUCUGUCGCGUCGGUCGUGAAAACUUGGGGCUUAACCCUGAGCUUGCGGUCGAUACGGGCAUGACUGGAGUUCGGUAGGGGAGACUGGAAUUCCUGGUGUAGCGGUGAAAUGCGCAGAUAUCAGGAGGAACACCGGUGGCGAAGGCGGGUCUCUGGGCCGAUACUGACGCUGAGGAGCGAAAGCGUGGGGAGCAAACAGG